CAUUUCAAGGGACUUUUGUCACAAUGUGGCUGUUUGUAUGUAAACCUUGGUCUCGGAGGAAAAUCCUGCAGUCAGGUUAUUGUUUAAUCUUCAUCGCUGCCUCUCUGGCAGGGUCUGGGGGAAAUGGAAACAAACCACAAGCCUUCAUUAAGCAAACAGCUGUGGACUGGAAGAGAUCAGAAGUGCAGUCUGGAAACCAUGUGUGCUUCUCAUGUUGCAAUAAUUGGGAAAUGAUGAUCAAUAGCAGGUAUGGACAGACAAUAGUCAUAGGCAUGUUGAAAAAAAGAGUAUAUCCAAAUCCUGCUCUGAAUAAUAGAUCCACCCUGAAAUCUGCUUGAUCACUGAAGAGCUGGUUUGCAGCCUAGAGAGCACAAAUAGGCAGCAUGUGAAUCUACUCAAGUGCUGACAGAGUCCCCUCCCCUCAAAAAUAUAUUUAGAUAGAAUACAGUGCAAACGUCAAUUAAAAAGGUCGUGUUUAGCCACCACAUUUUAUUUUCUUCUCAGCCUGUGAUGUAAUCUGUUCAUCUGUUAGUUGCUCACUACAUUAGGGACAUAUGCUUCAUGCCAGUAAUGAAUGUAUUGCAGAGUUGUGCUUCUUCUGACUUACCUAAACCACACAAUUUUAUAAAUUCUAGCUUAUGCGCCCAAGGAAGUCUUGCUGUCACACAAUGCCAUGGGAUGGUUUAAUGUGCGAACCAUUUGCCUGUUGUCCAUAAAUGAAAAUCACAUGUCAACAUGCAAAUAAUUCAGCUGUCUUUGCAUUUUGAAUGGAAAUAGCCUUCUUUAUUUCACGGAUUUUUUUUAUUCAUUUGACGCACCAAGGAUGUUGACUUUUUAUCUCCACAAUAAAUUAAGCUAAACAAGCUUAAUCUGGACUUUU
rnacentral:lncRNA from 1 species